GAUGAACGCUGGCGGCGUGCCUAAUACAUGCAAGUCGAGCGAACAGACGAUGAGCUUGCUCCUCUGACGUUAGCGGCGGACGGGUGAGUAACACAUGGAUAACCUACUUAUAUUACUUGGAUAACUUCGGGAAACCGGAGCUAAUACUGGCUCAUAUAUUGAACCGCAUAGAUCAAUGGUUCAAGACGGUUUUCGUGUCUCUUUUAGCCGGUGCCGCAUUAGCUAGUUGGUUGGGUAAGGGCCCACCAAGGCAACGAUGCGUAGCUGACCUGAGAGGAUGAUCAGCCACACUGGAACUGAGACACGGUCCAGACUCCUACGGGAGGCAGCAGUAGGGAAUAUUCCGCAAUGGGCGAAAGCCUGACGCAGCAACGCCGCGUGAGUGAUGAAGGUCUUCGGAUCGUAAAACCCUGUUAUUAGGGAAGAAAAAAUGUGUAAGUAACUAUGGACGUCUUGACGGUACCCAAUCAGAAAGCCACGGCUAACUACGUG
rnacentral:rRNA from 1 species